UUCUCCAAUGGGAAGCACCUUC
rnacentral:miRNA from 1 species